UCAAGCUCCAUUCAUUAACAAAAUAGAUGAGCAGUUAUGUAAGGUCAUGUGAGGAAAGUGGUUGGUCUUUGGUCAAUGAAAGAGUUAGUCACACAUCAUUGAGCUGGAUGGCCCUGGGAGGAAAUGUGGAGCCACUCUUUGUGUGUUCAAGGACUGAAGAGGGAGAACUUUAGCCGUAAUUCCUCACUACCCCCUGAGCUUCGGCACCCCCUUUACAGACUAGGCAUUGCAGGAGGCAUCUGGUGAUGUUAACCAGAAAAUAGGGAGUUGAAGUCUGUUGAGGUCCUCCCCACCUUCCUCUUCCCAAAUUACUCAACCCUCCUCUGAAGGAAUUAAGCAACCACCUGAUGAUUUUAGGGUGCAAAUGUGCUGUUGUGCAUCCCCCCAGCUCAUCUGCUCCGGAAGCACUCAGAGGCCAAUCUCUUGAAGGUCAUUUCAGACCAUUGGACUAGCAGGGCAGCAAGGCUUGGUUGGCAGCCUCCACGGGACAUGGAGCAGCAGUCAUCUGGCACAAGCUAUCAGUAGGACUCAUGGCCUGAUGAGUGCAGAGGAGGCCUGGAAAGAAAACUCAUGUGGGGCAGGUGAUCACGCUGUUUCCAUUAACUCGUGCUGGAUGCCGACAGUGCAGCUGAGCUGUUCCUGAUCCUUGGCCUAUGAUAAUGAGAAGACUUUGCCGGAAACCUUCAAGGGGAAUCUGUUGCUUUGGGAGCGAUUCAUCCAAGAUGGUCAGUUUUCACUGCAGAGGAGAAGGAAGGUCAUUCGGAAAUGUUCUCUCCAAGGAAAAACACUCUUCAUUUCUAUUUUAAUCCCUCUGGGGAUUAAUUGCCUCCUAAAAAAACCCUGGAAGAGCAGAGAAGUAACAGCAUGCAGGCAAGCACGUGUGAUAAGAAGUAGGCUGGGGACAACUGUGUUUCAGACUGGCUGUUGCACAGAUUUGCUUUCUGAAAGCAUUUUUUAAGAAGCGGAGGGGGGAGGAACAGAAAAAAUGUUCCUGGAUAACAAGCUGUAGUUACAGCUGAAAACAACAGGAGAAAAUAUCCUAGCUGGAGAGAAAAACUCCAAUUGCCUAUUAAGGCACCCCCUUCCUCCACUCCUUUACCCAUAGGCCCAACUUUGUCUGCUGGGGCAGCACUGAGCUGUGGGGAGACUAUUCCCAGCCAUUUCAGGCUGUAGCUGGAUGAUGUGGUAAACCUCACAGUAGGGCUCCUGCCAUCAGAUCAAACACACCCUGGCCAUGCCAUGCACAGAGUAGGUGCUGUCCAUCCUCCCAACACAUGGGACAAAGCCAUAAUAAGCACCAUUCAACAGAAGUGAGCUCUGUUACCAUGCCUCAGCCAGACCAGAUUUAUAGGGAUGCAGGUGGGCAUCGGUUGGAUGAAAGCAAUCAGAUCCUCACCCCCGAAUAUAUAUCACCAAUAUAAGCAUGGGUAUAGACUUGCAGGUGUUGUUCGAAUACAGGAUUUCAGGAGAUUAUUUGAAAGCCAGGUCACCGAGGGGCAUCACAAUUUAGCUGGGUCAGUUUGUCUAGGCAAGGGUCACAACCAGAAGCUCCUUUGGCCAGUGCUGUUGCUGAGAUGUGUGGAGCUGGAUCCUCCAUAACAGUGCUCCUGUUGACUUCUUGGCUGUCUCCCCAUCAGGCCCAGAUCUGUUUCGUUGUGAAACCUGAGAGUAGUAUCCUAUGUCCGGCAGGAAUGAAGACCAAAGUAAAUAAGCCUUGAUAGAAACCACACUUGUUAGGGAGAGAACGUGUAUUAGAUUUCAUAAUUCACCUUGGGACUCAUUCACCGAAGGCAGCUCUGAGCCCAUUAGCACUGAUAUCUAUUUUUAGCUCUCAUUCCUGUCAGCUGCGGGUCCCAGUCCAUGCAUGUGACACGCUGUCAAGGAUCCCUUUUUUUUUUUCCUUUAACAUUUAGAAAAACUACUGUGAGAGUUUUUUUCUGCUGGCUGUUCAACCUCCUCUCUGAAGCAGUAAGGGGAGAAGCUGAACUGCUCUGCCUGUGGAAAGGUUUCCCAUUCCUCAUGGCUGAAGAUUUUCUAACCAUCCUUCACUUUCUGGCUGUUUCUGUGCAUCAGGGAUCCAUUUCAGCAAGUGCACAGGACAUAGGGGCGCUGGCUGGGCAAACCUCUGGGAGGUGACACCAACCUUCCCAGGCAUGCUUAGGAAGCACAGCUGUUUUCAAGCUAUAGUAGGAAAGUUCCAGUGGCAUUUCACUGGAGAGUUUUUCGGUAUCUCCUUCCUGAUCAGAUCUCCCCUCUGGGCUGUUUGAACUGGCUGUUUGCCUGACAGCAGCACAGGCCUCCCAGAGGCAGAGAGAAUUUUUUGUGUACCAUAUGGGAAAUUUGGGGCCUUCUGAAGUGAAAGAGAGCAUAGAAAUACAGGAUCCUAUGGCUGCUGUUACCAAAGCUGAGCAAACCAGCCAUUUUCCAGACUUCUGGAGAGCAAGAGGGUUCAAAGAUUAACACAAGUGAAGAUGUUAUUGUGCUUGGGAAGCCAGAUGAAAGAAGCAGGGAGAUGAAUGACCUCAUGGGAGCAAAGAUGAGUGUGAUGAGAGGGGUUUCUAUCAUUCCAUGUAGGAAGUAAAACUUUCCAUGGAUACAGACCUUCUGCCAUACUUUUCAUCAGCAAAGCCCAGGAGUCCAGACACUCUUGGGAUGGUGCAUGAAGUGACGGGGAGAGAGAAGGAGAAGGACUGCAGAGGCUGGAGGUGAGGCAGAGCAUGAGGGACAGGAGCACAGCAAUAUCUGAAGCAAGUGCAGCAGGAGCUCUGUGAGAGCACAGAAGGGGCCCCAAGCACUGGCACAAUUUAGGAGCUGAUGGAGUAUGAAGCUGUGAGUGUAAGCUAUGGAAGGUCCCUGGGAGGUAUGUUCAAAGCCAGUCUCCUGGGGAACCUAUCCAAAAGGCUUUACUGAAUAUAUUUGUUUAUACAUUUCCACCUAAUUGGGGUUAAUCUGCUUUCUGCUUUGGCUAAUCAGCUGGUUCAGAGGCCUAAUAGGUUGGAGGGGGAUGUUUUGCCCUCCUCCUGUUUUCAGGCCAUGAAGUCAGGGGCGAGUGAGCACUGUGGAGGGGCUCAGAGUUGCCUGCUGUCAAAUCUGGCAGAAAAGUGCUUUAUCCCUUGAGGAAUGGUGCUGGAGAGCAGGUCUCCAGGAGAGACCAGUGCCUUUCUUCUUGCUAAUUGGCAGGUCUCAUGAAAAUGAAGGAUUACCGGGGAAAAAAACACCUCUGCAAGAGCCUAGCACUGAGGUAACUGCUCUGUAGAGGUCUGCUGAGGCUCCCAAAUCCUAAUGGGUACCAUCCCCAGCUGGUCCUAUGUCCUGACCUUAUCCUUCUAACUCAGGCCCCCACCUCCAGCAAAGGAUAUGCAUGAAUUGGGCACACAUGUCUGGUGUCCAUCCAUCCCCUGUGAACUUUCUCUUCUGGGAGCCCUUCUGUGCCCAUCUGCUCAGGGACUGAUGCUAUUUCAGGUCCCUUUGCUGGCCACGUGGAGGUGAGUCAUGGGCCCCUCAUGCAAAAUCUUCCUUGUAAUUUUAGGUUAAAGGAGACGCUGUUGCCACCAGCACAUCCUGCCCUUUGAGGGUGGAAAAAAAAGUCAGGAUGAGUUCACCAUGUGACAAGAGCUCAUUGCGCUAAGGAGAAGCUGCUGUAAAUGCUGUCUCUAAUUACUGCAUAUUACCUACCCUGUGAAUAUCAAACAUCUAGGGCCAAUAUAAAACAUCUUACGUUGUUUUCACCACCCUGGUUACCUGCUCCCUUCCCCAAGUAUCAGAGCCUCAUUCAUCCCAGUCACAGCUCCCUCAGUCCCUUAUCCAGACAAGGAUGUUAAAGCUGUCACAGUGGGGUGAAACUUUCCUUUAACAUUAUUCAGUGCUUGCUCCAGUCAUGGCUUCAGAGUAUUUUCUUUUGGAAGAUGCACUACUGAGUCACAGCAUGAAAUGCAAGAAAUGCUCCUGGUCUGGUGUGAGAUGUCCAGGUGAGGUGUUACUCCUGAGCAGCAGCUGUAGCCAAAAAGCAUUCCUGGAAGAUGUGGUUGGACCUGGCUGCAAAGGAGCCUCAGCUACACUACAGCAGAGGGACAGCCCAAAGAGGAGCACUGUAAACUCACAGGGCAUGGGUUCAGCUCUGGCCUAGAUGCUCAGAGGCACGGAACCCCAGUCCUCCCUGCCAAUAUUUAGAUCUAAGCUCAACCAGGCCAUCAGCAACCUGACCACGCUUUGAAAAUGGCUGCAUUCUGAGCAGGCAGCUGGAUCUUCAGGAUCUUCUCUCCUCACCUACAUCUUUUAUCCUAGCAAGAAGCCCACUGCUAAGGCUGUUUAAAGCUGAAAUGA